GAUAAGGAAACCCUGAGUGCCUGUCGAUGCAGGCUGUUCAUAUAUCUAAAUCAUAUGUGAAGAAAGGGCAGGGCAAGACCGGUGCCAGCCGCCGCGGUAAUACCGGCUGCUCGAGUGAUGGCCACUAUUACUGGGUUUAAAGCGUCCGUAGCUUGACUGUUAGGUCUCUUGGGAAAUCUUCGCGCUCAACGUGAAGGCGCCUAAGAGAUACCGGCAGUCUUGGAACUGGGAGAGGUAAACCGUACUUCGGGGGUAGGAGUGAAAUCUUGUAAUCCUCGAGGGACGACCUAUGGCGAAGGCAGUUUACCAGAACAGCUUCGACAGUGAGGGACGAAAGCUGGGGGAGCAAACGGGAUUAGAUACCCCGGUAGUCCCAGCCGUAAACAAUGUGCGUUAGGUGUGUCGGUAACCACGUGUUACUGAUGCGCCGAAGAGAAAUCGUAAACGCACCACCUGGGAAGUACGGUCGCAAGGCUGAAACUAAAGGAAUUGGCGGGGGAGCACCACAACAGGUGGAGCCUGCGGUUUAAUUGGAUUCAACGCCGGGAAGGGC
rnacentral:rRNA from 1 species